rnacentral:tRNA from 1 species
AGGGGUGUAGCGCAGCUUGGUAGCCCGCUUGUUUUGGGUACAAAAUGUCACAGGUUCAAAUCCCUCAAUCCCCU